UAGAGAAGGGUUGUGUCCUAUUUUAUAGA
rnacentral:piRNA from 1 species